GCGGAAGUACCCAAGUGGUGAAGGGGCUCCCCUGCUAAGGGAGUAGGUCUCGAAAGGGGCGCAAGGGUUCAAAUCCCUUCUUCCGCG
rnacentral:tRNA from 1 species